rnacentral:rRNA from 1 species
AUGGCCAAGGUUAAUACCGGCGCCGCCUUGUUGUCUCUGUGCCUGUUGCUGGCCUGUUCUGCCGGAGGCACAACGGCCGCCGAUGUGGACGUGGAGGCCACCGUGAGGACAGAAGUAGAGAAUGCCAUCAAGAGCAACCCUGGCGUCGGCGCCGCCCUCAUCCGGCUGGUGUUCCACGACUGCUGGGUUAAUGGCUGCGAUGGAUCGGUGCUCUUGGACCAGACGCCGUCCGGCAGCAAUACCGAGAAGAAGGCGAUCAACAACAUCGGCCUAGACGGCUUCAGCCUCGUCGACACCAUCAAGUCCAAACUGGGCAACAACGUCUCGUGCGCCGACAUAGUCGUCUUCGCCGGGCGUGACGCGGCCAGAUACCUAAGCGGCGGCAAAAUCGCCUACUCUGUUCCCUCAGGGCGCAAGGACGGCAUUGUCUCAUCGGCCGCCGCCGCAGACGCCAUCCUCCCGCAAUCCACCUUCGAGUUCCAGCAGCUCAAGGACAACUUCGCCAAGAAGAAUAACAUCCGCGACAUGAGCCUGAAGUUCCAGAACGACUCCGGCUACGACACUACGGGGGUGAACACCGCGGCGAAGGGCGCCCUGGACAACAGCUACUACCACGCCAACCUCCAGAACAGGGUGCUUUUUAAGUCCGACUGGGUUAUGCGCACGGACAUCAAAGCCGGGGGCGACAUGGCCGAGUACAUGAACAAUGCCACCAAGUGGAACAAUGACUUCGCCGCCACCAUGGUCAAGCUCAGCAAGCUCCCGGCCGAGGGUAGUACCCAUUACGAGAUAAGGAAGAACUGCAGAGUCACCAACCAGAACCUAGGUUUUUAA